rnacentral:rRNA from 1 species
UGCAAGUCGAGGGGUAUUGGUUUUCGGACCAAGAGACCGGCGCACGGGUGCGUAACGCGUAUGCAAUCUACCUUUCACAGAGGGAUAGCCCAGAGAAAUUUGGAUUAAUACCUCAUAGUAUAUAGAGUUGGCAUCAACAUUAUAUUAAAGUCACAACGGUGAAAGAUGAGCAUGCGUCCCAUUAGCUAGUUGGUAAGGUAACGGCUUACCAAGGCAACGAUGGGUAGGGGUCCUGAGAGGGAGAUCCCCCACACUGGUACUGAGACACGGACCAGACUCCUACGGGAGGCAGCAGUGAGGAAUAUUGGACAAUGGGCGCAAGCCUGAUCCAGCCAUGCCGCGUGCAGGAUGACGGUCCUAUGGAUUGUAAACUGCUUUUGUACAGGAAGAAACAGUUCUACGUGUAGAACCUUGACGGUACUGUAAGAAUAAGGAUCGGCUAACUCCGUGCCAGCAGCCGCGGUAAUACGGAGGAUCCAAGCGUUAUCCGGAAUCAUUGGGUUUAAAGGGUCCGUAGGCGGUUUAGUAAGUCAGUGGUGAAAGCCCAUCGCUCAACGGUGGAACGGCCAUUGAUACUGCUAGACUUGAAUUAUUAGGAAGUAACUAGAAUAUGUAGUGUAGCGGUGAAAUGCUUAGAGAUUACAUGGAAUACCAAUUGCGAAGGCAGGUUACUACUAAUGGAUUGACGCUGAUGGACGAAAGCGUGGGUAGCGAACAGGAUUAGAUACCCUGGUAGUCCACGCCGUAAACGAUGGAUACUAGCUGUUGGGGGCAACUUCAGUGGCUAAGCGAAAGUGAUAAGUAUCCCACCUGGGGAGUACGUUCGCAAGAAUGAAACUCAAAGGAAUUGACGGGGGCCC